CAGGGUUAGAGGCAGAGAAUCCCAGUGGAAAGAGGGGAACCGGCCAGGCAGAGACAGCAAGGGCGGUUCGUUGCUCCAGAGCCUUUCCGUUCACCUUCCCACUCCUGGGCCAGACUACACUCAAUCAUAUGACCCACUGAAGAGAUGAGACAGACAACGAUGAGACAGCCUAUAAGGGAGGAGGUCAGAGACCUGGCAGUGUGAUGCCAGGACAACAACCUUUCCCUCAAUGUGAGCAAGACAAAGGAGCUGGUAGUGGUCUAUAGGAAAAGGAGGGCCGAACAUGACCCCAUUAACGUCAACAGGGCUGCAGUGGGGGGGUCGAGAGUUUCAAGUUCCUUGGUAUCCACAUCACCAACCAACUAUCAUGGACCAAACACACCAAGACAGUCAUGAAAAGGGCACGACCACCUUUCCCCCUCAGGAGAUUUGGCAUGGGUCCACAGAUCCUCUAAAAAGUUUUACAGCUGCACCAUCAAGAGCAUCUUGAACGGUUGCAUCACUGCCUGCUAUGGCAACUGCUUGGCUUCUGACCGUAAGGCGCUACAAAGGGUAGUGGAUACGACCCAGUACAUCACUGGGGCCAAGCUUCCUGCCAUCCAGUCCUCCACAGCGCUAUUCAGAAUUAAGUGUGGGCAGGCGGUGGAAUCCUGCUUCCAAUAUUGCUGGGAAUUGAGUUCUCCCGUUCUCAUUCCUGCUAUUUCAGUUUUCAAAUAUUUGAUUUUGUGCUGCAUUGGACAUGGGAAUGGGAGAGUCCCUUUUCUCUCAUUUGGUAUAUCUCUACAUAAAUAUCUUUAUUUCUAAACUGUAUGCAUUAUCUAUUUUUGAUUGGACUGUGGCAUCCAACCAGAGUGCCAGUAGGUACAAGGUUUCUAACGAAAACCAUUAUCUUAUUUCUGGAGGAAUUGUAGAGAUAUCUUUUUCCAUAUUUACCUCAACUGUCCGGUGUGAUUUAUUUUUAGGAGGGCGGCAAAACCGCCAAAUUGGCCAAAUUCAUACGAUUUUGUUGUCAUGAUUCGUUUAGACUUCAAGGAUAUCCGUAGAAGACGCAUCUUCGACUACCUCCGGUGGUGGUCCGGAAGACCAAUCAGUUCACAAUGUGUUUUUUGUCUACUCAAAUUGUCUAAUUUGAGCUGCCUCAACACUUCCCACUGGGCACAGACGUCAGUUAAACAUCUAGUUUCGAUUUACAUUUGGUUGAGUUGUCUACUAACGUGAAUUCAAUGUGAAAUCAACAAAACAUUUCACCAUGCCACUUGAUUAAAAGCUCAACGUUGGGUGAAAAAAAAGGCUAAGUUCCCUUACGUUAAUGACAAGUUUCUCGUUGAUUCAAUGUCACCACGUUUCAUUAUUUUUAUGUUGAAAUUCCUUAAAACAACGUUGAUUGAACUAGUUUUUUGUUGUUACAAUUUUAGUGCUCAUCAGCUGUAUUUCACAGCAUGAAAUGUUUUCUGUUCGGCUGAUUUUAUUUGUGAAGUCAAAAUGUUUGUACACUGGUGAUUCCAAUGUCAUCAAAAUAAACUGCUUUUCACUUAAUCAAUUUCUGAUCAAUUCUAAAGCUACUCAACUCCUAUUCUCUUCCACUACACCCUUCAAACUCUACUCAACACAUGUAGGCAUUAUUGUACAGUAUAUACACAGACCAUGUAAAUCAACGUAACCUUUGACUGAUGUUUAAUAGUGUUGUUUUCAAUGUAGCGUUAAGAGACAGUUAUGUAACAUCAGGGCUGUGCAUGAAGAAGGAUACAUCACUUUAGGGUUGCUGUGCAUGAAGAAGGAUACAUCACUUUAGGGUUGCUGUGCAUGAAGAAGGAUACAUCACUUUAGGGUUGCUGUGCAUGAAGAAGGAUACAUCACUUUAGGGUUGCUGUGCAUGAAGAAGGAUACAUCACUUUAGGGUUGCUGUGCAUGAAGAAGGAUACAUCACUUUAGGGUUGCUGUGCAUGAAGAAGGAUACAUCACUUUAGGGUUGCUGUGCAUGAAGAAGGAUACAUCACCUUAGGGUUGCUGUGCAUGAAAAUAAAGAGACAGAUCUAUAACAGUGCUGUUGUGCGUCGUGAAGAGACCGGUUACAAUAACUGUAGGGUUGUGAAAGUGAAAGAGCCUGUUACAUGACAUCUCUUUAGGGUUUUUAUGCAUGAAGAGAUUUAUACUGUAGGGUGGUGUCUGAAGAGACAGGUAGGUUAUAAUAACAGUAUUUGUUGUGCACAUGCAGACAAUUGCUUCUAUAACUGUAGGUUAGUGCACGGAAAAGACAGUUAAUAUGAAAUGGUGUGCAUUCUGAAGAGACAGCAGAGGGGACAGACAGAGGACCCGACCAAGGCUCAGGCUGCCCCGACCCUGCCACUAGGAUGACAGGAGGUCCUGCCAAACUUGGUGCUCCUGGAGUUGCCUGAAGGACCUUUAGAAGUCAGGGCCCUCCUUCUUCAGAGCCUUGUAGUCCAUAUUGACGGCCACCAACUGCGGAGGGAGUGAAUACAUUUAAAUACGUUUUGCUUAAAUUAAAUUAAUCAGUGUGUUUUAAGGAAAGGGAAUACAAACUGGCUGCUUACACACACACACGCGCGCGCACACACACACACACACCACAGAAGG